UCCGGUAUAGUCUAGUGGUUAGGAUAUCAGGUUCUCACCCUGGGGACCCGGGUUCAAUCCCCGGUAUCGGAA
rfam:Paramecium tetraurelia chromosome undetermined scaffold_104, whole genome shotgun sequence.